rnacentral:rRNA from 1 species
GGAGUCUAACACGCUUGCGAGUCUUCGGGGCCUGACGAACCCCGCGAGAAGGCGCAAUGAAAGUGAAGGACGCUCCGGCGUCCCAGGCGGGAUCGCGUCGGAGGAAUCCGUCGCGCGCACCGCCGGCCCGCCCUGCGGUCGCUCGUCGGCCGGGCGGAGCGAGAGCAAGUACGUUGGUACCCGAAAGAUGGUGAACUAUGCCUGGGCAGGACGAGGCCAGAGGAAACUCUGGUGGAAGUCCGUAGCGAUUCUGACGUGCAAAUCGAUCGUCGGACCUGGGUAUAGGGGCGAAAGACUAAUCGAACCAUCUAGUAGCUGGUUCCCUCCGAAGUCUCCCUCAGGACAGCUGGCGCUCGGAGGUUGCAACAGUUUCAUCCGGUAAAGCGAAUGAUUAGAGGAACUUGGGGUCGAAACGACCUCAACCUAUUCUCAAACUUUCAAUGGGUGAGAAGGCCGGUGUGCUCGACUGAAAUCCGGCGAUGCGAAUGCGAGUUGCCAAGUGGGCCACUUUUG